UUUGUCCCACAAUAGCAUCGCAGCGCCUCGCCUAUCGCAUAUCGUGUGUGUGUGUGCGUGUGGGUGCGUGUGUGUGUGCGCGCGCGCCGCCUGAAAAAUAAUAAUAAAACAACAACAAAUAAACAAAAUAGCAACAACAACCACAACAACAAACCAUAAUCAUAAUCAUAAUAAACAAUGGAUACGCGUAAAAAUCGUAAAUGCUAAAUAUUCGGUAAACAAAAAAGCAUUGCCGUGUGUAUUUUUUGUUCUUGUUUUACCUAUUUUUUUUUUCAAGUGCCCCUCGCACGUGUGUGCAAAACAACAACACAACGCGAGCGAGCGAGAGAGAGAGAGGGAGAGAGAGAAGCUGUAAAUUACAUAAAAGAAGCAGCAGAAAUAAAGAUAACAGAUAACAGAGUGGAAUGAUAAGCGGCAAAAAAAAAAUAAAGCGAAAAAUACACCAAAAAGUAUUGCCAGUAAUUACAACAAAAAUAUAUAUACAACAAGUCGUUUAAAAGUUAGUGCAAAAUAAACAAAACAAAAAUCAAACAAACAAAGGGCGGCAUCAAAAAAAAAAAGCUAAAAAGCGUGCCAGCAAAGCACAAUAAAAAAUAGAAAACACACACAAAAAACCGAAUGCAACCAAAAAAUCUUCCAAAUUCGUAAAGCCAAGAAAAUCGCCAAAGUCGCCGAAAUUCCAAAUAUACCAAAAACCCAAAACUACAAUACAUGCUACAAUAAAACCCCUCAGUGAAAAUACAAUAAAUCAAAAUACUCCAUAUAAAACCAAUAUUACUAAAUUGUUAAAUAGCAAACAAUAGAAACAAAGACAAUAGAAGAGCCACAACUAAAACUCUAAAUGUAGUUAAAUAUACAAUAAACUAAAAAAAAGUUCAGUAGACAAAACCAAUUUUUGAAAACAAGAAACAUAACAGUAAUUGAGACAGUAUAAACCUCUUCAAACCGAAAUAAAAGACUAAAAAGAAUAUAAAAAGCUUUAUAUUUGUAUUAUUAACCAAAAAGAUCCCGAACCCAACUCAACAUCGAAUUUCAAAAGCUAAACAAAUAACAGUGUGAAAC